UACGUAGAGUACAAGCAUUAUCCGGAUUUAUUGGGCGUAAAGAGUAUCGUAGGCGGUCUAUUAAGUAACGGGUUAAAGCCCGGGGCUCAACCCCGGAGAUGUCCGUUAAACUGGUAGACUUGUGGAUGUUCGGGGUUACUAGAAUUCUUGGUGGAGGAGUGAAAUCCGUUGAUAUCAAGAAGAAUACCAAAAGCGAAGGCAGGUAACUAGGACAUUCCAGACGCUGAUGAACGAAAGCUAGGGGAGCGAAAGGGAUUAGAGACCCCUGUAGUCCUAGCCGUAAACUAUGAACACUAGCUAUUUCCCGCAAGGGGAGUGGCGUAAGCUGACGCGUUAAGUGUUCCGCCUGGGGAGCACGACCGCAAGGUUAAAACUCAAAGGGAUUGACGGGGAAACGCACAAUCAGCGUGCCAUGUGGUUUAAUUGGAUACGAAACCUUGAACCUUACCUAGAUUUGACAUGUAACUGCAAAUCCCUGGAAACAGGGACUCCUUCGAGGGUGUUACACAGCUGCUGCAUGGUUGUCGUCAGUUCGUGUCGUGAGGCGUCGGCUUAAGUGCCGUAACGAACGCAACCCCUGUGCUAUGUUAAAUAUCCAUAGCAGACUGCCUUGGAUUUUUCCAAGGAGGAAGGAGGGGAUGACGUCAAAUCAGCAUGGCGCUUAUAUCUAGGGCUACACACAUGGCGUAAUGGGUGGGACAACGGGAUGCCAAGGCGCGAGCCGGAGCUAAUCCUUAUAAACCCAUCCUCAGUUUGGAUUGCAGGCUGCAAUUCGCCUGCAUGAAAGGGAGUUGAUAGUAAUCGCGGAUCAGCAACACCGCGGUGAAUACGUUCUCGUUUCU
rnacentral:rRNA from 1 species